AAGUCGUAACAAGGUUUCCGUAGGUGAACCUGCGGAAGGAUCAUUACCAUAUGUAUCCAUAUAAACACCUGUGAACUCGUAUUAUUUCCGUUCGUUGUUGAGUGGGCGUUGCAUUGCGCGUUUGUGGAGCUCUUGAGUGGUGGUAGCUUCCGUCGCAUUGUACUCAUCCUUCUUCAUUGUGGGAUGACCUGCUUGGCUCGAAUGUGUAUUCCACUGCUCAUUUCUUAUUAAAUCAUUAACACCUUGUACCCAUUGUGAACUGAACAUAACGCACAGUUUUUGCAGCAGCAGCACAUUGUUAUCGAUUUCAUAAUCAGUAACGCCGUGCAGCCGCAGCAGUAGCAGUGUCGUAAAAUGUACGAAACGUGCGAACAACUCUUAACAACGGAUAUCUUGGUUCUC
rnacentral:misc_RNA from 1 species